ACAGUUUGAAAGAAAGGAGUGAGGGAGGGGAAAGAUAACACACGUUGGACCUUUCUGUAGUCACAGAAAGCAUAUAGCUACUGAGAGGAGAAGCAAUGGGCAGAACUUACACAUUUGGCCUUGCUUAGAACUGGAGCUGGCUUGGGAGAUAACCAGGAUCUGUAAACUCUAGAGAUUUUGUGUUUCUUUUUUCAAGUUCAGGGUUACUUCUUCCUCCCUUCUGGGCCCUUUUGUAUACAGAAGCUUUUACUUCCUUGACAGAAUAAAACAUCAGCUGUGCUUAAAAGUGUCUUUCCACUCAGGGAACACAGCCUUCCUACUGACUCUGUAAGGUGCUUUCUUUCCCCGGGGAAAUCACCCUUGGCUGCAAGUCCGCAGGCCUCUGGAAGGUGUAAUUUGCUAAAGAAGUUCAGAUAAAUACAUCACCCAGAGCAGAACCGCAGCCAAGGCUGGAAGGAGUCCUUUGUGUUCAGGACUUCGUCUGCUCAAGAGCCCUCCUUCUCCCAAGUGGCAUCUUCAGGGGCAGAAACAGGAAAAUCCCAACAAUAGGAGGAAUGCAGAGCUUUGCCCAGCAUUUGUAGUCGGCACUUGUGUAAAGAGAGAAUCUUUUUACGUUGCUAUUCAGCAGCUGAGGGGGAGGGAAAGGCCUGCCCUUCUGAACCUGGCUCCGGUUCCUCCCUGAUCUGCUCCGCCCAGCUCCAGGCAUGAAGGGGGAGACAGGUGGGCAGGGCCUGGGCCCUAGGGGCAACCCUGGCAGCUUGAGUCAGCUCCCUCCUCUGAUGUCCUCCUCUGAUGUCCAGUUACUCUAAGGAGAGUGUUUUUGAGGGCCUACUCUGUGCAGGUACUAUGCUGGGUACUGGAGUACAAGCACGCGGAGGACUCAGUCCCUGCCCUUGAGAAACCACAGGAUGGUGGAGGAGACAGAUAAUCAGUGCCUUCUGCACAGAGUGCAGAAUUGGAACACUCUGUCUUGGCAAGUCAUGCCUCCUUGGAGAGCGUUCAGAAGGAGCUGCCCUUUCUGGCCCGGAGCAAACCGAACCUCAGAAGACCUGGAACACUCCUUCAUUCGGCUGACUGCUGCUGCCUCAGCAUCAUCCCUGUGGAAGCCUGCUUCACGUACCGAUGAGGUCGCCCUCCUGUCUGCAUCCCUGAGAGUCAUGGUUACGAUUCUGCACUGGGGGCUUCUUCCCCCACUAGCCUGACACUGUGCUCAGAGAGCUUGUCGCUUGCCCAGUAUCUCACAACAAGGACUCAAACGGAGCUCCCGCUGGCUCCCACCUCCCGGCCUCUGCUCCCUGACACUGGGGAUCCACGACCCCACACCCUCCCAUCUCCUUCCCGGCUCAUCUCCUUCCCAGCUCGUUUCCUCCGGAUGAUAAGAGCUGGGUGGUAAUAUUACAUACUCUUCCUUUCCAAUUGCAACUCUUCAUUGCUUUUGGCAGCAAAAGCUCUGCUCAGGGUCAAGAUGAGAGAGUGACUGGUACUAGCCAAAGAAAAUUGAGAUGGAUUCUUACAGCGCAUUGAAUGAGGGCCCCCCAAAUAUAUGUCUGCAUCCUGAUCCCCAGAAUCUGUGCAUGUUACUUGAUCUGGAAAAAGGGUCUUUGCAGACAUAAUUCAAUUAAGAAUCUUGAGAUGACAUCUCCCUGGAUUAUCCAGUGGGCUUUAAAUUAGAUGACCUGUGUCCUUAUUAUUAGAAGGGCAGAGAGAGGUUUGAAACAGACAGAAGAGAAGACGAUGCUGAGAGGAGAAGGCGGUGUGAAGACAGAGGCAGAGAUUGGACUGAUGUGGUUACAAACCAAGGAGUGUCGGCAGCCACUAGAAAGGAAGAGAGAGUCAUGGAGUGGAUUCCCUCCCAGAGCCUCGGAAGGAAGUGUGGCCCCACUGACAGCACGAUUGUGGACUUCUGCCUCCAGAACUUGAGAGAGUACAUUUCUAUUGUUUUAACUCAUCCAGUUGGCGGUAAUUUGUUACAGCAGCCCUAUGAAAGUAAUAGAAUUCUCAAAUGCUAUCUGCUCACAAAUUUCAACGUGAAAGAUAUAAACACCCAAACCUCAGUCCAGAUUCCAAUGGUGAGAAGCCCCCAUGGAAGCCUCGACAGCCCCUUUGGACUCAGCAGUCCCGCGGAGUAUUUCCCCAGGGUUUCCUGACGCCCCUGCCUCCUCCCUCAGAGCUUUGACCCUGCCACUCUAUUGCGGGUCCUGUGUAACCUUCCCCAGAAAUACACUUGGCUGAGCCCCACACCGCAGCUCUUAGGAUGUUUAGGACUAUUUUUCACCUACCCAAGUUCCAGGGUUCUAGGGCGUAGGAAAGUAUUAAAAUGUGCCUGAAAACCUUAUAACGAGGAUCUGUCAAUUCUGGGUCUGGGAGUGUAGGCCUGUCUUUGCAGCACCAGGCUUGUACCACAGUGUGGUCAACAUUAAGGACUAGAUACUGCGUGCUGAGUGGUUAAAUCUCGCAUAUAUUCCUACCAGACUUGCCCGGGCGAACAGGGCACAGGAGGAAAUUGUAUUCUCAUUUCCUCCACAUCUCCUUCAAAAGCUUCCACACCCCUAAGCCCUCAGGGCUUCUGUGCUGGUCCAAUCUUCUCUCUGCAGGGCCCAUUCUGCUCCUCCUCUCCCCCUACCCACAAAAUGAACCUGUCCCAGGCCCGUUGGUCCAGGCCUUUCUCCAAUGUUAAGGGACAAUUAUCAUUAGUGCAUUAAUGAGGUCAGCUCAGGAGUUUGACAAAUUUCUCAUGAUGGAAACCAGAUGGAGGAAGGUGGGUUGCGCGGUGUACCCGUGGGCGGAUUCAUAGUUGGCUGAAGGCAUUCACUCUGAAAAAAAUCCCUGGCCUUCUGAAGCCGGGUUUCUUGCUCUUGGGCCAAUCCUAGUCAACAUUUUAAUCAAUGAUUUGAAUAAAGUCAAAGAGGAAAGCUUAUCUAAUUUGCAAAUGACUAAACUCUGAGCAAUGUAGAAAACAUAUUUGUGCAC